UACGUAGGGUGCAGGCGUUAAUCGGAAUUACUGGGCGUAAAGCGUGCGCAGGCGGUUUCUUAAGUCAGUUGUGAAAGCCCCGGGCUUAACCUGGGAACUGCGUUUGAAACUGGGAGACUUGAGUGUGGCAGAGGGGGGUGGAAUUCCACGUGUAGCAGUGAAAUGCGUAGAUAUGUGGAGGAACACCGAUGGCGAAGGCAGCCCCCUGGGUUAACACUGACGCUCAUGCACGAAAGCGUGGGGAGCAAACAGG
rnacentral:rRNA from 1 species